CAGUCGCCGCGGGAAUACGGAGGGUGCAAGCGUUAAUCGGAAUUACUGGGCGUAAAGCGCACGCAGGCGGUCUGACAAGUCGGAUGUGAAAUCCCUGAGCUUAACUUAGGAAUUGCAUUCGAUACUGGGAAGCUAGAGUAUGGGAGAGGAUGGUAGAAUUCCAGGUGUAGCGGUGAAAUGCGUAGAGAUCUGGAGGAAUACCGAUGGCGAAGGCAGCCAUCUGGCCUAAUACUGACGCUGAGGUACGAAAGCAUGGGGAGCAAACAGGAUUAGAUACCCGAGUAGUCCCUGUCUCUUAUAA
rnacentral:rRNA from 1 species